AAUCAACGCUGGCGGCGUGCCUCAGACAUGCAAGUCGAACGAUUAAAGCUCUCUUCGGAGAGUGUAUAGAGUGGCGCACGGGUGAGUAACACGUAAGUAAUCUACCUUUGAGUGGGGAAUAACAGUCGGAAACGACUGCUAAUACCGCAUAAUGCAGCGGCAUCGCAAGAUGACAGUUGUUAAAGGAGCAAUCCGCUUAAAGAGGAGCUUGCGGCAGAUUAGCUAGUUGGUAAGGUAAUGGCUUACCAAGGCUACGAUCUGUAUCCGGUCUAAGAGGACGGUCGGACACACUGACACUGAAUAACGGGUCAGACUCCUACGGGAGGCAGCAGUCGGGAAUUUUGGGU
rnacentral:rRNA from 1 species